UACGUAGGGUGCGAGCGUUGUCCGGAAUUAUUGGGCGUAAAGAGCUCGUAGGCGGUUUGUCGCGUCGGCUGUGAAAACUCGGGGCUCAACCCCGAGCCUGCAGCCGAUACGGGCAGACUAGAGUUCGGCAGGGGAGACUGGAAUUCCUGGUGUAGCGGUGAAAUGCGUAGAUAUCGGGAGGAACACCAGUGGCGAAGGCGAGUCCCUGGACAAUUCCUGACGCUGAGGCACGAAAGCCAGGGGAGCAACGGG
rnacentral:rRNA from 1 species